AUGUACGCAGCCGGCCACAUAUUCUGGCAAACUGAUGUCGCCAGGCUGCUGGUGCUAGACACGAGCACCAUGGAGUUUUCAGAGCACGGUGUCCCAUGGGAGAUAGUCUCUACCAGUUGGUCCAUCGGAGAGCUCCGAGAUUGCAAGGGCUGCCUCGUGUGCCUCCAAGGCCUCAAUAGCUCGUUCGGCAAAGAUGGCUUCAUAGUGGAGGAGCCUCUCCGCCUGGAAGUCUGGGCACUAAAGAAGGAGGAUAAACAAGUUAAAUUUUGUUGGAAGUGCGAGAAGGGUGUUCGGGUGAGCGAGAUGCUCCCGGAGGACGACGCUCGUGUGUACAAAGUCCACAAGGUCAUCAACGGACUAGCGCUAAUUGGCUGCACCAAGGGCUCCUAUGCUAUUGACUUGCAGAGCAUGACUCUGUUGGCAAAGUUUGAGUCUGGUGGAGAUAUUUAUCCAUACCAGAUGUCGUGGCCACCUGCUGUGCUGGCUGCUGCUACUAGUGUGGUAUCCAGGCAUUUGGGAGCCAACCUGUCUAAUGAAGACUGUGCUCGGAUUCCUAGCAAGAACAUGGAUGGCCGAGAAGGCACUUCUUCUGGUGGAUCGGAAUCUGAAGUACACAUCAGCCAGACUCCUCUGAGUUUAGAGCAACAUGACAUUGGUGAGAAAUCAAGUCAAGAUCUGCAUGGUUGUAGUGCUAGGAUUCAGCCAAUGGAAAAGGAUCCGUGUCAUGAUGAACUGACUCUGCAAACGGCUGGUGUUUUCCCUUCUGAAAGCUGUGACAGGGAUAUUCUAGAAGAUAAAUCUGAAACCGACAGCCUGCCAAAGAAUACUACAGAAGAUACUGAAAUGUUGGAGCAACAACAUAGUGAUAAGGCUCACAUAGAAGUCAGUUGUGCCGACAAAAUGAGUGAAGUGCUCUAUGAUGAUAACAAUACCUUGAAGAAGAAUACAAUCUGUGGUGGGAAGGUUGCUAUAGAGUGCCACUUGGCCUUAUUACAUAAUAAAAGUUCAGAAGCUAGGAGUAACGCCAUUUCAUCUCCAAUGCAGAAGAGGCCCUUUGCGUGCCAGUGCCAUGUAGAUGGUUGCACCAUGAGCUAUGACAGUAAGAACAAUUUGGCCAAGCAUUUUAGGGAAGUCCAUGAGCAGAAGAAACGUUUCGCACGGAGAUUCAGUGGGUGCAGCGAGGAGUUUUCUUCAAAGAAUAAAAGGAAGAUUCAGGAGGGAUCUAGUGCUCAUGUUGAGCUUUCCACCAAUAGGAUUAAUUGUGUCAGCACCUCUCCUGUCGGUGGACCAGAAGCCCAUGAAGAGCCCAGGCCCGCACAAGUGGUGGGCCGUCGCACAAGCAACCGACCACGUAAACCGAACAAGCUAGUAAGUGGAGACGACUGGGUCGUUUGA
rnacentral:rRNA from 1 species